GAACAGUGGUUUCGGGACCACAAAUCUGACAAGGAAAAAAUUUAUUUUUCUUAUAUUUUUAUGGUCUACGAUUUCACGGAAUUAUUUUGUAAAAAUUUUGUUCGAAAAUUUCGACGUUUGGGCACUCAAUUUAGUCAAAAGGACUAAAUUGUAAAAAGUGCAAAAGUUGAGUUCUACAAGUUAGAGGUGUCUAAUUAUUAUGAAAUUUUAAAUUGGAGGUCCUUAAAUGGUAAUUAGACCAUUGGUUAUUUAUGGACAAAAAUAGACAUGGUUAGUAAGUAAGCUAUUUAAGGGCAUUUUGGUAAAAUGCCUUAAUUAAUGAAUAAAGACAAAAUAACAUGAAAUAAAUUAUCAUCUUCUUCAAUUCUUUUCUUCAUGGCCGUAUGUAGCAAGGGAACACCAUGGCUAGGGUUUGUUCAUCUUCCAAGCUUCAUGAUCAAGAAGAACGAAACUCGAGGUUAGACAAAGGGAAGAAUAAAGUUGAAGACUAAGUUGUUGAAUUGGACUAUAUUUGAUACCGAGUAUUGCAAAGCUACUUCAAGGAUCCUAAAGAAGUCGGAGAUCGUCCACACUAUCAACCACAACGCUUCGGUAUUUUAUAUCGAAUCACGUUUGAGUUAUGGCAUGUAUAGGGAUUUAGUUAUUUUGUAUGUUUGUGAUUAUGAUUUUGCUAAAGAAUGGUGUGUAAGUAUUUGAUGAUGUAUGGUUAUUAAAAUGGUUAAGUA